rnacentral:rRNA from 1 species
AUUGAACGCUAGCGGCAGGCCUAACACAUGCAAGUCGAGCGGAUGAAGGGAGCUUGCUCCUGGAUUCAGCGGCGGACGGGUGAGUAAUGCCUAGGAAUCUGCCUGGUAGUGGGGGAUAACGUCCGGAAACGGGCGCUAAUACCGCAUACGACCUGAGGGAGAAAGUGGGGGAUCGUCGGACCUCACGCUAUCAGAUGAGCCUAGGUCGGAUUAGCUAGUUGGUGGGGUAAAGGCCUACCAAGGCGACGAUCCGUAACUGGUCUGCGAGAAUGAUCAGUCACACUGGAACUGCGACACGGUCCAGACUCCUACGGGAGGCAGCAGUGGGGAAUAUUGGACAAUGGGCGAAAGCCUGAUCCAGCCAUGCCGCGUGUGUGAAGAAGGUCUUCGGAUUGUAAAGCACUUUACGUUGGGAGGAAGCGCAGUAAGUUAAUACCUUGCUGUAUUGACGUUACCAACAGAAUAAGCACCGGCUAACUUCGUG